GCCAUUGUGGUGUAGGGGUUUGGGUGCUGGACUAUGACUCUGGAGACCAGGGUUCGAUUCCCAGCUCAGCCA